GUGCAGUCGAGCGGAUAUCUUUCGUAGCAAUACGGGAGGUAGUCAGCGGCGCAAGGGUGCGUAACACGUGGGCAACCUGCCCGGAAGUGGGGGAUAGCUCGUCGAAAGGCGAAUUAAUACCGCAUGUGGCUAGAGGUGACAUCACUUCGAGGCCAAAGUCGGGGCAACCUGACGCUUCUGGAUGGGCCCGCGGCCUAUCAGCUAGUUGGUGAGGUAACGGCUCACCAAGGCGACGACGGGUAGCUGGUCUGAGAGGACGACCAGCCACACUGGAACUGAGACACGGUCCAGACACCUACGGGUGGCAGCAGUCGAGAAUUUUUCUCAAUGGGGGAAACCCUGAAGGAGCGACGCCGCGUGGAGGAUGAAGGUCUUCGGAUUGUAAACUCCUGUCAUUGGUGAACAAAGCCCUCGGAUUCACUGCCGUUGGGUUUGAUAGUAGCCGAAGAGGAAGGGACGGCUAACUCUGUGCCAGCAGCCGCGGUAAUACAGAGGUCCCAAGCGUUGUUCGGAUUCAUUGGGCGUAAAGGGUGCGUAGGCGGUAGGGUAAGUCUGGUGUGAAAUCCCGGGGCUCAACCCCGGGACUGCACUGGAUACUGCUUUACUAGAGUACUGGAAGAGGGAACUGGAAUUUACGGUGGUAGCAUGGAAUUGCUUAGAUAUCGUAAGGGAAACCAGCGGGCGAAAGGCGAGUAUUUGCAAAGUUACCGGAGGCUGAAGCACUAAGGGGCAAGGGAACAAACGAGAAUUAAAAAACCCCGGGGAAGCCGGGGGAAGAAAACCGUGACCCGUUAGGGGGGGAGGAGGAUACUAGCCCUUUUUGUGGCCGGA
rnacentral:rRNA from 1 species